rnacentral:lncRNA from 1 species
GAUUUUCAAGUCAGCUCAUUUUGGGAUGAGGAGCUUUUCACUCUUGAUCACUUGAGAUCUUUAACCCAAUCCAACCUUGGCUUCAAGCCUUGCAAAAGCUUAUUAUGCCCCUUGUUCUUAAAUGAGCUUAGCUGAUGAGAAAAUCUUGAAUAUGAAAGAAGCGGGGGCUAACCCCAGGAGACCCUUGGGAUUCUAGAACCACCCUU